rnacentral:rRNA from 1 species
AGUGAACGCUGGCGGUAGGCCUAACACAUGCAAGUCGAACGGCAGCACAGUAAGAGCUUGCUCUUACGGGUGGCGAGUGGCGGACGGGUGAGGAAUACAUCGGAAUCUACUUUUUCGUGGGGGAUAAGGUAGGGAAACUUACGCUAAUACCGCAUACGACCUACGGGUGAAAGCAGGGGAUCUUCGGACCUUGCGCGAUUGAAUGAGCCGAUGUCGGAUUAGGUAGUUGGCGGGGUAAAGGCCCACCAAGGCGACGAUCCGUAGCUGGUCUGAGAGGAUGAUCAGCCACACUGGAACUGAGACACGGUCCAGACUCCUACGGGAGGCAGCAGUGGGGAAUAUUGGACAAUGGGCGCAAGCCUGAUCCAGCCAUACCGCGUGGGUGAAGAAGGCCUUCGGGUUGUAAAGCCCUUUUGUUGGGAAAGAAAAGCAGCAGGUUAAUACCCCGCUGUUCUGACGGUACCCAAAGAAUAAGCACCGGCUAACUUCGUG